AUACGUAGGGUGCAAGCGUUAAUCGGAAUUACUGGGCGUAAAGCGUGCGCAGGCGGAUUUUUAAGGAAGAGGUGAAAUCCCCGGGGUCAACCUGGGAACUGGCUUUGGGACUGGAAGGGUAGAGUACGGCAGAGGGGGAUGGAAUUCCGGGGGUAGCAGGUAAAUGCGUAGAUAUGCGGAGGAACACCGAUGGCGAAGGCAAUCCCCUGGGCCUGUACUGACGCUCAUGCACGAAAGCGUGGGGAGCAAACAGGAUUAGAUACCCUGGUAGUCCACGCCCUGAACGAUGUCAACUGGUUGUUGGGUCUUCAUUGACUCAGUAACGAAGCUAACGCGUGAAGUUGACCGCCUGGGGAGUACGGCCGCAAGGUUGAAACUCAAAUGAAUUGACGGGG
rnacentral:rRNA from 1 species